UACGGAAGGCAGCAGUGGGGAAUAUUGCACAAUGGGCGCAAGCCUGAUGCAGCCAUGCCGCGUGUAUGAAAAAGGCCUUCGGGUUGUAAAGUACUUUCAGUCGUGAGGAAGGUGUUAAGGUUAAUAACCUUAGCAAUUGACGUUAGCGACAGAAGAAGCACCGGCUAACUCCGUGCCAGCAGCCGCGGUAAUACGGAGGGUGCGAGCGUUAAUCGGAAUUACUGGGCGUAAAGGGCACGCAGGCGGUUAAUUAAGUUGGAUGUGAAAUCCCCGGGCUUAACCUGGGAAUGGCAUUCAAGACUGGUUAGCUAGAGUCUUGUAGAGGGGGUAGAAUUCCAUGUGUAGCGGUGAAAUGCGUAGAGAUGUGGAGGAAUACCGGUGGCGAAGGCGGCCCCUGGACAAGACUGACGCUCAUGUGCGAAAGCGUGGGGAGCAAACAGGGAUUAGAUACCCGU
rnacentral:rRNA from 1 species